rnacentral:rRNA from 1 species
GGGGGAUAUUGCACAAUGGAGGAAACUCUGAUGCAGCAACGCCGCGUGAGGGAAGAAGGUCUUCGGAUUGUAAACCUUUGUCCUUGGUGACGAAACAAAUGACGGUAGCCAAGGAGGAAGCUCCGGCUAACUACGUGCCAGCAGCCGCGGUAAUACGUAGGGAGCAAGCGUUGUCCGGAUUUACUGGGUGUAAAGGGUGCGUAGGCGGCUCUGCAAGUCAGGCGUGAAAUACAUGGGCUUAACUCAUGGACUGCGUUUGAAACUGUGGAGCUUGAGUGAAGUAGAGGUAGGCGGAAUUCCCGGUGUAGCGGUGAAAUGCGUAGAGAUCGGGAGGAACACCAGUGGCGAAGGCGGCCUACUGGGCUUUAACUGACGCUGAGGCACGAAAGCAUGGGUAGCAAAC